rnacentral:rRNA from 1 species
UACAGAGGUCUCAAGCGUUGUUCGGAUUCAUUGGGCGUAAAGGGUGCGUAGGCGGCGCGGUAAGUCGGGUGUGAAAUCUCGGAGCUUAACUCCGAAACUGCAUUCGAUACUGCCGUGCUUGAGGACUGGAGAGGAGACUGGAAUUUACGGUGUAGCGGUGAAAUGCGUAGAUAUCAGGAGGAACACCGGUGGUGUAAACGGCUCUCUGGACCGUAACUGACGCUGAGGCACGAAAGCGUGGGUAGCAAACAGG